rfam:Medicago truncatula strain A17 chromosome 1, whole genome shotgun sequence.
GUGUCAUGGUCAUUGUUGACUGUUCAUACGACCCCUACAAUUUCAUUGCAGCUUAUGUGGGGGUUAUAUAACGGUCAACAUAGACCCUUAACAU